rnacentral:rRNA from 1 species
GUAGUUAGCCGGUGCUUCUUCUGCGAGUAACGUCACAGAUGUAAGGUAUUAACUUACACCCUUUCCUCCUCGCUGAAAGUGCUUUACAACCCGAAGGCCUUCUUCACACACGCGGCAUGGCUGCAUCAGGGUUUCCCCCAUUGUGCAAUAUUCCCCACUGCUGCCUCCCGUAGGAGUCUGGGCCGUGUCUCAGUCCCAGUGUGGCUGAUCAUCCUCUCAGACCAGCUAGGGAUCGUCGCCUAGGUGAGCCUUUACCUCACCUACUAGCUAAUCCCACCUGGGCUUAUCCAUCAGCGCAAGGCCCGAAGGUCCCCUGCUUUCCCCCGUAGGGCGUAUGCGGUAUUAGCAGUCGUUUCCAACUGUUAUCCCCCACAAAUGGGCAAAUUCCCAGGCAUUACUCACCCGUCCGCCGCUCGUCAUCUUCAAAAGCAAGCUUUUGAAAUGUUACCGCUCGACUUGCAUGUGUUAGGCCUGCCGCCAGCGUUCAAUCUGAGCCAGGAUCAAACUCUGA